AACGAACGCUGGCGGCAUGCCUAACACAUGCAAGUCGAACGAGACCUUCGGGUCUAGUGGCGCACGGGUGCGUAACGCGUGGGAACCUGCCCUUAGGUUCGGAAUAACUCCCCGAAAGGGGUGCUAAUACCGGAUAAUGUCUUCGGACCAAAGAUUUAUGGCCUUUGGAUGGGCCCGCGUUGGAUUCGCUAGUUGGUAGGGUAAAAGCCUACCAAGGCGACGAUCCAUAGCUGGUCUGAGAGGAUGAUCAGCCACACUGGGACUGAGACACGGCCCAGACUCCUACGGGAGGCAGCAGUGGGGAAUAUUGGACAAUGGGCGAAAGCCUGAUCCAGCAAUGCCGCGUGAGUGAUGAAGGCCUUAGGGUUGUAAAGCUCUUUUACCCGGGAUGAUAAUGACAGUACCGGGAGAAUAAGCUCCGGCUAACUCCGUG
rnacentral:rRNA from 1 species